AUCGGCCUUUCCCCUAACCGGAAGUCUGCAGGACCGGACCCUGUUUAUCGUGUACCCGCCGGUGACUGUGCUCGUCUUUGGUCUUAUCGGUGUAUCCGGAAGUGCACCCGUUACAGGAUAUGGUGUUUUUGGCAGACUUAGGAAUCUCUUUCCACUUCGAUGGACUGGAUUCAAUUUACGCCAAAAUGAAGCAAGAUAUACACCCGGUGAUGUGGAACUAAAUUAUUUAGAAAAGGAGUGAAUAAAAGUAAUUAAGGUGCCACUCUGUGUCCAGACUACCUGUUACCCCCAUAUCCAGUAUGAGAAUUCCUAAAGCCAAUGCCACUAGAAGAUAACGCUGAAGAAAGUGAACAAAGUAUCAUGUGCUGUAUAUUGGAAAUGUUUCAUUAUUAUGUUUUUGAGAGGAGGACCCCUUUAAUCCUGAGCUGUAUUUUCCAUAUCAAGUUUUUGUCUCCUAUCCCACAAGUACAGAUCCCUACAGGUAAAUCAGACCUACUACUUAGUGCAGUUUGAUGUGACCCAGACAUCAAGCACAUACUGUCUAAGUCAGAAAUUCAGCCAUGAUGCUGAUGAAAGGCAUAACGACUGUAUUUGAACUGUCCUGUACUCUGGAGAGAAGCACUGGAGCAAUAAGGGGCGCAGGAGUUGCACCACUUCAGACUCAUUCAGACAGCACUUCAGUCCAGGCUAUGGUUGCAGUUUUAGGUCUCCGAUGAAGUAUGUUUAUACGAAACGCGUCAGACCAUAAACUGAUGUA